rnacentral:rRNA from 1 species
AACGAACGCUGGCGGCAGGCCUAACACAUGCAAGUCGAGCGAGGUAGCAAUACCUAGCGGCGGACGGGUGAGUAACGCGUGGGAACGUACCCUUUGCUACGGAAUAGCCCCCGGGAAACUGGGAGUAAUACCGUAUGUGCCCUUCGGGGGAAAGAUUUAUCGGCAAAGGAUCGGCCCGCGUUGGAUUAGGUAGUUGGUGGGGUAAUGGCCUACCAAGCCGACGAUCCAUAGCUGGUUUGAGAGGAUGAUCAGCCACACUGGGACUGAGACACGGCCCAGACUCCUACGGGAGGCAGCAGGUGGGGAAUUUUGGACAAUGGGCGCAAGCCUGAUCCAGCCAUGCCGCGUGCGGGACGAAGGCCUU